rnacentral:rRNA from 1 species
GCGCGAUACAGGGUGACAGCCCCGUACACAAAAAUGCACAUGCUGUGAGCUCGAUGAGUAGGGCGGGACACGUGGUAUCCUGUCUGAAUAUGGGGGGACCAUCCUCCAAGGCUAAAUACUCCUGACUGACCGAUAGUGAACCAGUACCGUGAGGGAAAGGCGAAAAGAACCCCGGCGAGGGGAGUGAAAAAGAACCUGAAACCGUGUACGUACAAGCAGUGGGAGCACGCUUAGGCGUGUGACUGCGUACCUUUUGUAUAAUGGGUCAGCGACUUAUAUUCUGUAGCAAGGUUAACCGAAUAGGGGAGCCGAAGGGAAACCGAGUCUUAACUGGGCGUUAAGUUGCAGGGUAUAGACCCGAAACCCGGUGAUCUAGCCAUGGGCAGGUUGAAGGUUGGGUAACACUAACUGGAGGACCGAACCGACUAAUGUUGAAAAAUUAGCGGAUGACUUGUGGCUGGGGGUGAAAGGCCAAUCAAACCGGGAGAUAGCUGGUUCUCCCCGAAAGCUAUUUAGGUAGCGCCUCGUGAAUUCAUCUCCGGGGGUAGAGCACUGUUUCGGCAAGGGGGUCAUCCCGACUUACCAACCCGAUGCAAACUGCGAAUACCGGAGAAUGUUAUCACGGGAGACACACGGCGGGUGCUAACGUCCGUCGUGAAGAGGGAAACAACCCAGACCGCCAGCUAAGGUCCCAAAGUCAUGGUUAAGUGGGAAACGAUGUGGGAAGGCCCAGACAGCCAGGAUGUUGGCUUAGAAGCAGCCAUCAUUUAAAGAAAGCGUAAUAGCUCACUGGUCGAGUCGGCCUGCGCGGAAGAUGUAACGGGGCUAAACCAUGCACCGAAGCUGCGGCAGCGACGCUUAUGCGUUGUUGGGUAGGGGAGCGUUCUGUAAGCCUGUGAAGGUGUGCUGUGAGGCAUGCUGGAGGUAUCAGAAGUGCGAAUGCUGACAUAAGUAACGAUAAAGCGGGUGAAAAGCCCGCUCGCCGGAAGACCAAGGGUUCCUGUCCAACGUUAAUCGGGGCAGGGUGAGUCGACCCCUAAGGCGAGGCCGAAAGGCGUAGUCGAUGGGAAACAGGUUAAUAUUCCUGUACUUGGUGUUACUGCGAAGGGGGGACGGAGAAGGCUAUGUUGGCCGGGCGACGGUUGUCCCGGUUUAAGCGUGUAGGCUGGUUUUCCAGGCAAAUCCGGAAAAUCAAGGCUGAGGCGUGAUGACGAGGCACUACGGUGCUGAAGCAACAAAUGCCCUGCUUCCAGGAAAAGCCUCUAAGCAUCAGGUAACAUCAAAUCGUACCCCAAACCGACACAGGUGGUCAGGUAGAGAAUACCAAGGCGCUUGAGAGAACUCGGGUGAAGGAACUAGGCAAAAUGGUGCCGUAACUUCGGGAGAAGGCACGCUGAUAUGUAGGUGAAGUCCCUCGCGGAUGGAGCUGAAAUCAGUCGAAGAUACCAGCUGGCUGCAACUGUUUAUUAAAAACACAGCACUGUGCAAACACGAAAGUGGACGUAUACGGUGUGACGCCUGCCCGGUGCCGGAAGGUUAAUUGAUGGGGUUAGCGCAAGCGAAGCUCUUGAUCGAAGCCCCGGUAAACGGCGGCCGUAACUAUAACGGUCCUAAGGUAGCGAAAUUCCUUGUCGGGUAAGUUCCGACCUGCACGAAUGGCGUAAUGAUGGCCAGGCUGUCUCCACCCGAGACUCAGUGAAAUUGAACUCGCUGUGAAGAUGCAGUGUACCCGCGGCAAGACGGAAAGACCCCGUGAACCUUUACUAUAGCUUGACACUGAACAUUGAGCCUUGAUGUGUAGGAUAGGUGGGAGGCUUUGAAGUGUGGACGCCAGUCUGCAUGGAGCCGACCUUGAAAUACCACCCUUUAAUGUUUGAUGUUCUAACGUUGACCCGUAAUCCGGGUUGCGGACAGUGUCUGGUGGGUAGUUUGACUGGGGCGGUCUCCUCCUAAAGAGUAACGGAGGAGCACGAAGGUUGGCUAAUCCUGGUCGGACAUCAGGAGGUUAGUGCAAUGGCAUAAGCCAGCUUGACUGCGAGCGUGACGGCGCGAGCAGGUGCGAAAGCAGGUCAUAGUGAUCCGGUGGUUCUGAAUGGAAGGGCCAUCGCUCAACGGAUAAAAGGUACUCCGGGGAUAACAGGCUGAUACCGCCCAAGAGUUCAUAUCGACGGCGGUGUUUGGCACCUCGAUGUCGGCUCAUCACAUCCUGGGGCUGAAGUAGGUCCCAAGGGUAUGGCUGUUCGCCAUUUAAAGUGGUACGCGAGCUGGGUUUAGAACGUCGUGAGACAGUUCGGUCCCUAUCUGCCGUGGGCGCUGGAGAACUGAGGGGGGCUGCUCCUAGUACGAGAGGACCGGAGUGGACGCAUCACUGGUGUUCGGGUUGUCAUGCCAAUGGCACUGCCCGGUAGCUAAAUGCGGAAGAGAUAAGUGCUGAAAGCAUCUAAGCACGAAACUUGCCCCGAGAUGAGUUCUCCCUGAC